GAUUAGGUUCUUGUAAUGUGCAGUUGGAAGGGGGGCCGUUACACUGUAAGAGAGUGAGUAGCAGGUCUCACAGUGAACCGGUCUCUUUUCCUACUGUGUCGUGUCACCCCUAAUUAAA
rnacentral:pre_miRNA from 14 species